rnacentral:tRNA from 1 species
AUUAAAGUGGCAGAAGGUUUUUUAAUGCGAGGAAUUUAAGCUUCCUAUAUGGGGUACCCUUUAAUA